UACGAAGGGGGCGAGCGUUGUUCGGAUUUACUGGGCGUAAAGGGCGCGCAGGCGGCCAUUCAAGUCAGGCGUGAAAGCCCCGGGCUUAACCCUGGGAGGUGCGUCUGGGACUGGGUGGCUAGAGAUCGGGAGAGGAGGAGUGGAAUUCCCAGUGUAGAGGUGAAAUUCGUAGAUAUUGGGAAGAACACCGGUGGCGAAGGCGGGCUCUCGU
rnacentral:rRNA from 1 species